rfam:Triticum aestivum genome assembly, contig: Triticum_aestivum_CS42_TGACv1_scaffold_516726_6BS
AUAAUAUUCCCUCCAUACGGAAUUACUUUUCAUCAAAAUGGAUGUGUCUAGAACUAAAAUACAUCUAGAUACAUCCAUUUCGAUGACAAGUAUUUUCGGACGGAGGGAGUAGUAG